AAACUGUUUUCUCAGAGCAUUCCUUAGCAAUUGUUAUGAUUUCUGUUACAGGGAAGAGUACUCAUAAAAUUCAUAAUCUGGUUGAAGAUACCAACGGUACAUUAAAACCAAUUGAAAACAGAAAUAUCAAGUGUGUCGCACAUGCCACAAUUUUAGAAUCAGUAGCUAUAUGGAGUGGUCCCCACUGGACUAGAGCUGCUCAAAGCAUGGCCCAUGAACUGGUGGCAGUUCCGCAGAAGGUAAGGGUAAGAAUAGGUGAAAAUCUGUAUCAGGCUCCCACGUCUUAUCCUUCUUUCCCCUGAGCAGCCAGAAGACCAUUGUUCCUAUAUACUUUGGAUAAAACUAGAGACUUAGAACUUGGAGAAAUUUAAUCAGAGAGAUUGAGUUAUAGCUGAAGUUGAGAUGUCCUUAGAAAAUAAGAACACAUUUUGAAAAGCAAAAAAUGAAAGUCUGGAUAUCAAAGAUAAAAACCUCAUCCAUUCCCUUUCCUCUGUUUUCACAGCAUGGCAGUCAGGUGUAUAUCACCUAGACAGGAGAUCAGACCUUUUCUCUCAGGGAUAAUUUAUCAGUCACAAGACAAAUUGACUUCGGAGGAUCCCCUAAUACAAAAAUUUAACUAACUCAUUGCUUCAUUGCCUUGUAGUAAAGUCCACCAGUUGACAAGCCCCACCCAUACAGACAGAGCUUCUCAUCAGCAUUAGAGUGCUGAUGGGCAGCCAAGGGAUCAGACAUGUGGGGAAAGCCUUCAGAAUGAAAAACAGAGGCCCGUGGAUUCAAGGAGAAUGAAAAGGUGCUAAGAAACAUAUUUAAGGUUUUUUGUUUGGUUUUUUUUUUAGGAAAUGAAAAUAUUUUUAAAAUGUGUGCCCUCAGAAUUAAGAUAUCCAAGAAACACGAAUAGGAUGCUAUUAAAAAGUACUUUCAAGGGCCAGGGAUUUAGUUCAGUGGUGCACCAUGCCUGCCUCACAAGCACAAGGUCCUGAGUUCAAUCUUUGGUACAAAAAAAAAAAAAGUACUUUCAGAGAAUAGAAAAACAGUUCUGGAAAUUAAAAUUGUAACAGCAAAAUGUUGGAAAUUGAAGCUAUAGAAAUCACCAGAAAAUAGCAAAGAAGAGAAAUGAAAAAUGGAAAGUAAAUAAAAGAUAAUCAAGAGAGCAAUCAGAAGUGUGUCAGGAAAAUUACUUUGAAAAGGGAAGGAAGAGGGCAAUGGGGACGGCAUGCAAGGGGAACUUAACACAGUGAAUGAAAAAGGACCACACUAAGGAAGAGGAAAAGCAGCUACAAUUUUCCAAAAAAUUAAAACAGAUCAUAUGUAGAAGACUAGAAAUUGAUGUGGUAUGAGACCUUCCAGUAGAGAGGCUACAUUAGAAGUUUGAAAAUAAUAUGAUGAUGGCCUCAAAAUCUGGAGGAUGUUAUUUCCAACCUAGUGUUCUAUUCUGAAAGAAUAAAAUACAUGAGGGUAAAAUAGAACAUCUCUAUUAUAAAAAAAAAAAGAAGAGUUGCUAGAAUAGCGGGAAAGGAAAGUCACAGGACAGGGCUGUGUAGCCAAUAUUUGACAGUGAAAGUUGUUUUAAAAUUCUGUAGAAGAAUUGAGACAGAAUGCAAUAGACAAACAGCAAGCAAACAAAGAGGCAGCAAUUCUAGGAAGAACAAAUGACUGUACAAGGAAAAUAAAGUAGCUUAACUUCAUACAGUUUCACAUGCUCAUAAUCAUAACCAUAAAUAUUGAUUUAACCAAAAUGUAUUUUAACUGCUUCCAUAUUUUGAAGUCAGUAAUGUCUUAAACCAAAAAAAGACAAUGAGUAUGAUAUCUAGAAUAAAUAAGAACAUUACCAGCACAAAUAGCUAAAACAACUUAAAUUUUCUUGAAUACUGGAGGAUAGAAAUCUUCCAGCAUAUGGUGGGUGGUGCUAUUUUUAGUUAAAAGCCCUACAGUUUGUAAAUGGGAAGGGGAGGAGCGGGUGAAGGGAGGGCAGGGACAAGGGGAAAAAAUGAGAACCAAGACCUGUCAUGUAAAGGUACAAGAUUCCAGUAAUGAAUGUAACUGCACUGUAGACCUAAAAUGUACCAAUAAACUCAACGAGGAAAAAAAAUGUUUUAAAAAGCCCUGUAGUAGUAUUUGACCUUGAAACUAUAUAUGGAUCAGGUAAAAAUAAAAUAAAAAAAGUUAAAGAAAUUAGGAUAGAAAGGGGCUAGGAUAUUAGAUAAGUGCCAUACAUCUACAAAGACAAUGGAAACAACAAAAAUACAGUUUUAGGCUAUAUAUGACAGGAUUGUAAGCAAGGAACUCAAAACUUAAUUUAUCAAGAAUAAAUGAUGGUAGGCUGGGGAUUUGUCUCAGUGGUUCUGCUGCCUGCCUCGUAAGUGCAAGAGCCUGAGUUCAAUCGCUGGUACAAAAAAUAUAUAUAAAUGAUAACAAAAUAUUUGAAUUUCAGAUGUAAGCUUCAAAACUUACAAAAGAUUUUUGCAAGGGGGAAGAGGCAAAUAUUCUAAGAGUUUAAUGAAAUUUAAUAGUCAUCAAUACAUUUUCAUUAAAACAUAUAAAGAAUUCCAUACAAACUUCCCAUGUGUCCAACACUGUUGAUACUGUCAUUAGUUGAAGAAUGUUUUUAAUCCAAGAGCCCUUUCUCCAAGAAACUAAUGAGAAAAUAUGCAAGGGGUGAUCAAAAUAUAGUGAUUAUUUAAAUUUGUUUAAAUGUAUUACAGUAAAAACCAUAUGGCC
ensembl:lincRNA